GUACACGCUGUGACUAGCAUAUCAAUAAGCGGAGGAAAAGAAACUAACAAGGAUUCCCCUAGUAACGGCGAGUGAAGCGGGGAAGAGCUCAAAUUUGAAAUCUUAAAGGGUUUCCCUUUACGAAUUGUAGUUUAAAGAAGUGUUUUCUGUUGAGGUUUUGGUAAAAGUUCUUUGGAAUAGGACAUCAUAGAGGGUGAGAAUCCCGUAUUUGACCUUUACUUUCAACUUUGUGAUACACUUUCAAAGAGUCGGAUUGUUUGGGAAUGCAGUCCAAAAUGGGUGGUAAAUUUCAUCUAAAGCUAAAUAUUGGCGAGAGACCGAUAGCGAACAAGUACCGUGAGGGAAAGAUGAAAAGAACUUUGAAAAGAGAGUUAAACAGUACGUGAAAUUGUCAAAAGGGAAGCGUUUGACACCAGUGUUGUUUUUCUGAAAAUCAAUUAAAGAACUGUUUAUGCUAAGCUGUUUAGACUUUAUCAGCUAUCUGUUUAGUUUUGAGCUUUUCUUUAAUGCACUUUUCAGUUAACAAGUCAACAUCAAUUUCUUUUCGCUGUAAAAAAGCUUGAGGAAGGUGGCUUGAGAUUCGUCUUAAGUGUUUAUAGCCUCUUGCCUAUGCAGUCGGGAGAGAUUGAGGUCUGCAGCGUAGAUCCUUCGGGGCUAAAUGCAUUUGUGCUAAGUUAUAGCAUUUUAUAGACAACUUGUUGACUAUGAUUUGUCUUGUAGCUUACUCGCUUAUGUUAUUUUACCUACGCUUAGGAUGUUGAGUCGUAGAGCACGCAG
rnacentral:rRNA from 1 species